GAUUGAACGCUGGCGGCAUGCCUUACACAUGCAAGUCGAACGGCAGCACGGGUGCUUGCACCUGGUGGCGAGUGGCGAACGGGUGAGUAAUACAUCGGAACAUGUCCUGUAGUGGGGGAUAGCCCGGCGAAAGCCGGAUUAAUACCGCAUACGAUCUACGGAUGAAAGCGGGGGACCUUCGGGCCUCGCGCUAUAGGGUUGGCCGAUGGCUGAUUAGCUAGUUGGUGGGGUAAAGGCCUACCAAGGCGACGAUCAGUAGCUGGUCUGAGAGGACGACCAGCCACACUGGGACUGAGACACGGCCCAGACUCCUACGGGAGGCAGCAGUGGGGAAUUUUGGACAAUGGGCGAAAGCCUGAUCCAGCAAUGCCGCGUGUGUGAAGAAGGCCUUCGGGUUGUAAAGCACUUUUGCCCGGAAAGAAAUCCUUGGCUCUAAUACAGUCGGGGGAUGACGGUACCGGAAGAAUAAGCACCGGCUAACUACGUGCCAGCAGCCGCGGUAAUACGUAGGGUGCGAGCGUUAAUCGGAAUUACUGGGCGUAAAGCGUGCGCAGGCGGUUUGCUAAGACCGAUGUGAAAUCCCCGGGCUCAACCUGGGAACUGCAUUGGUGACUGGCAGGGCUAGAGUAUGGCAGAGGGGGUAGAAUUCCACGUGUAGCAGUGAAAUGCGUAGAGAUGUGGAGGAAUACCGAUGGCGAAGGCAGCCCCCUGGGCCAAUACUGACGCUCAUGCACGAAAGCGUGGGGGAGCAAACAGGAUUAGAUACCCUGGUAGUCCACGCCCUAAACGAUGUCAACUAGUUGUUGGGGAUUCAUUUCCUUAGUAACGUAGCUAACGCGUGAAGUUGACCGCCUGGGGAGUACGGUCGCAAGAUUAAAACUCAAAGGAAUUGACGGGGACCCGCACAAGCGGUGGAUGAUGUGGAUUAAUUCGAUGCAACGCGAAAAACCUUACCUACCCUUGACAUGGUCGGAAUCCCGCUGAGAGGUGGGAGUGCUCGAAAGAGAACCGGCGCACAGGUGCUGCAUGACUGUCGUCAGCUCGUGUCGUGAGAUGUUGGGUUAAGUCCCGCAACGAGCGCAACCCUUGUCCUUAGUUGCUACGCAAGAGCACUCUAAGGAGACUGCCGGUGACAAACCGGAGGAAGGUGGGGAUGACGUCAAGUCCUCAUGGCCCUUAUGGGUAGGGCUUCACACGUCAUACAAUGGUCGGAACAGAGGGUUGCCAACCCGCGAGGGGGAGCUAAUCCCAGAAAACCGAUCGUAGUCCGGAUUGCACUCUGCAACUCGAGUGCAUGAAGCUGGAAUCGCUAGUAAUCGCGGAUCAGCAUGCCGCGGUGAAUACGUUCCCGGGUCUUGUACUCACCGCCC
rnacentral:rRNA from 1 species